rnacentral:rRNA from 1 species
AUGCUCUUAAUGAUCCCGGCUCAUGAUUUAAUUUCCAUGUAUUUAGCUAUUGAGCUUCAAAGUUUAUGUUUUUAUGUGAUCGCAGCAUCAAAAAGAAAGUCUGAAUUUUCCACGGAAGCCGGCUCAAAAUAUUUGAUCUUAGGUGCAUUUCCCUCUAGAAAAGGGGGCUGCCCCUGCCAGAACUCCUCAGCUCCUGGGGGGAGAACAUUUAAAUCAAAAGGAAGAACAAGGGCGAGUAUAUGA